CCACAAGGGGUUAGGCCACCGGCUUCGGGUGUUACCGACUUUCGUGACUUGACGGGCGGUGUGUACAAGGCCCGGGAACGUAUUCACCGCAGCGUUGCUGAUCUGCGAUUACUAGCGACUCCGACUUCAUGGGGUCGAGUUGCAGACCCCAAUCCGAACUGAGACCGGCUUUUUGGGAUUCGCUCCACCUCGCGGUAUCGCAGCCCUUUGUACCGGCCAUUGUAGCAUGCGUGAAGCCCAAGACAUAAGGGGCAUGAUGAUUUGACGUCAUCCCCACCUUCCUCCGAGUUGACCCCGGCAGUCUCCUAUGAGUCCCCACCAUGACGUGCUGGCAACAUAGGACGAGGGUUGCGCUCGUUGCGGGACUUAACCCAACAUCUCACGACACGAGCUGACGACAACCAUGCACCACCUGUACACCAGUCCGAAGACGCACACAUCUCUGCAUGAUUCCGGUGUAUGUCAAGCCUUGGUAAGGUUCUUCGCGUUGCAUCGAAUUAAUCCGCAUGCUCCGCCGCUUGUGCGGGCCCCCGUCAAUUCCUUUGAGUUUUAGCCUUGCGGCCGUACUCCCCAGGCGGGGCACUUAAUGCGUUAGCUGCGGCGCGGAACUCGUGGAAUGAGCCCCACACCUAGUGCCCAACGUUUACGGCAUGGACUACCAGGGUAUCUAAUCCUGUUCGCUCCCCAUGCUUUCGCUCCUCAGCGUCAGUAGUGGCCCAGUGACCUGCCUUCGCCAUCGGUGUUCCUCCUGAUAUCUGCGCAUUCCACCGCUACACCAGGAAUUCCAGUCACCCCUACCACACUCUAGUCUGCCCGUACCCGAUGCAAGCUCAAGGUUGAGCCUUGAGUUUUCACACCAGACGCGACAAACCGCCUACGAGCUCUUACGCCCAAUAAUUCCGGACACGCUUGCGCCCUACGUAUUACCGCGGCUGCUGGCACGUAGUUAGCCGGCGCUUCUUCUGCAGGUACCGUCACUU
rnacentral:rRNA from 1 species